rfam:Novosphingobium aromaticivorans DSM 12444, complete genome.
CCUGCGGGCCGGGCCCCUCUGACGAUCCUGUGAUCGUGAUGUCGGACCGCAUCG